UCCGGCUUAUCACCGGCAGUCCCACUAGAGUGCCCAACUAAAUGAUGUAACUAAUGGCGAGGGUUGCGCUCGUUGCGGGACUUAACCCAACAUCUCACGACACGAGCUGACGACAGCCAUGCAGCACCUGUGUUACGGCUCCCUUUCGGGCACGCCCAGCUCUCGCUGGGCUUCCGUACAUGUCAAGGGUAGGUAAGGUUAUUCGCGUUGCAUCGAAUUAAUCCACAUCAUCCACCGCUUGUGCGGGUCCCCGUCAAUUCCUUUGAGUUUUAAUCUUGCGACCGUACUCCCCAGGCGGACUACUUCACGCGUUAGCUGCGUUACCAAGUCAAUUAAGACCCGACAACUAGUAGACAUCGUUUAGGGCGUGGACUAC
rnacentral:misc_RNA from 1 species